rnacentral:rRNA from 1 species
AAUAGAUACCCCGGUAGUCCACGCCGUAAACGAUGAGUGCUAAGUGUUGGGGGGUUUCCGCCCCUCAGUGCUGCAGCUAACGCAUUAAGCACUCCGCCUGGGGAGUACGGUCGCAAGACUGAAACUCAAAGGAAUUGACGGGGGCCCGCACAAGCGGUGGAGCAUGUGGUUUAAUUCGAAGCAACGCGAAGAACCUUACCAGGUCUUGACAUCCCGGUGACCACUAUGGAGACAUAGUUUCCCCUUCGGGGGCAACGGUGACAGGUGGUGCAUGGUUGUCGUCAGCUCGUGUCGUGAGAUGUUGGGUUAAGUCCCGCAACGAGCGCAACCCUUAUUCUUAGUUGCCAUCAUUCAGUUGGGCACUCUAAGGAGACUGCCGGUGAUAAACCGGAGGAAGGUGGGGAUGACGUCAAAUCAUCAUGCCCCUUAUGACCUGGGCUACACACGUGCUACAAUGGACGGUACAAACGGUUGCCAACCCGCGAGGGGAGCUAAUCCGAUAAAACCGUUCUCAGUUCGGAUUGUAGGCUGCAACUCGCCUACAUGAACG